CUCAAGACACUUGAAUGAGUGUGAAUCCCAGUGAAGGGAAAAACUUGUAAAUGCUUUGUCGCUACCGAGUCGCACAUGGCAAAAGGGAAAACUAUGGUUUAAUGCCUUAAAGGUUUAGCAAUUGACAAGGAAAGAGAGAUGGCUGGAUGUGACUGGCAUGUGAAAGUAAUUGGAAUCCUUAACACUCCGUAAGUUAACCCGAAAUGAUAUGGAUAUUCGUAAAAUAAUCAAAAUUUAUCCCAGAUUUUUAUUUUCCGCAAAACUAACUUUCCUUCAAAAUAAUUGUAAACUUUGAAACAACCCAUGUUUUAGUUCGCAGAAGCCUCGAAUGUACGUGCGAUCUUCAAUUCUCCAGACCCGCUAACCGAUCAGACCGGAACUCCCCUUCCCCCUUCCUCUCAUGCUUCUGCUUCGUCUCUCUUUUUGGGUCCCUAUGCGGAGCGGAGCGGAUCGGAGCGCCAAGGCCAUUUAUAAAUACUCCAAGCUAAAAAUAAAACAUUUUGCUGUUGUUG
rnacentral:lncRNA from 1 species